GAUGAAGAACGUAGCGAAAUGCGAUAAGUAGUGUGAAUUGCAGAAUUCAGUGAAUCAUCGAAUCUUUGAACGCACAUUGCGCCCCUCGGUAUUCCGUGGGGCAUGCCUGUUCGAGCGUCAUUUAACCCCUCAAGCCUAGCUUGGUAUUGGGUGCUUAUCCCGCCUCUCGCGCGGCGACUCACCUCAAAGUCAUUGGCAGCCCGCAUCUCGCCGGCCGUGAGCGCAGCACAGACGCGCUCUUGGCAACGACGGAUCGGCUCUCCAAAAGCUUAUUUCAACCACUGACCUCGGAUCAGGUAGGGAUACCCGCUGAACUUAAGCAUAUCAAUAAGCGGAGGA
rnacentral:misc_RNA from 1 species